CUCUCUCUCUCCCUCUCUCUCUCUUUCUCUUUAAAGAAGUUGGGGAUGGUGGAGAUGGUGGGUGUGGUGGGGAUGGUGGAGAUGGUGGAGAUAGUGGGGAUAGUGGAGGUGGGUCAUUACAUACUACUCCCUAACCGUGCGGGUUUUGAUGAAAAGAACGUUGAUGCGAUCAGUAAGUGUAUGGAUAGUCCGGUUUCAGUGGUUUACUGUUGUGCUGAUCUGUUUCGGUUAAUGAUUAACGAUCUGUACAGCGAGUUUAGCUGGUCGUUGUACGAGGACCUUCGCAUGUUGGUUGGAUGGGGAAGGUUGUCAUCAACCAACUGGAACGUGAGGCUGUACCAUCUUCAACAAGCUGUCGGUAUGCAAAAGGAGGAUGCGUUUUCCAAGGCAACCUCCUGAGCAGCUACUCGGGCGGCCUCCUGAGCGGCCUGCCUGGCUGCCUCCUGGGCAAUCUGCUGAAGUGCCUCCUGAGCGGCUUGUCUAGCGGCAUCCUGAACCAUCUGUCUCAAUGCGUCCUGAUCAAUAGGCGGAGCCGCCUGCUGCGGAACUGCGGGCUGGACAUGCUCGUUCUCAGCCUCAACCUCUCUAGCGUCUCUGACGGUCUGAGUACGAACAACUCUCUUCCUAGGCGGCAUCUGAAAGGGAAAGCGAAAAAGUAAGCUUCUGUUGAAUUCUUGAUACAACAUUUAAAGAGGAGAGAUACCGAACGAAAAGGUGCUAUUUAUUUUUGUUUUCAAAAUUCCCAAAUCCCCGAAAAUAUUUUGAAAUCGUCUAAAACCGUUAAAAUCGAAUAAAACCAAAUAAAACCAAGUCUCCAAAAUCGCCAUCCCGGGUCGGAGCCGGGAUGGAACCCCGCUCUGAUACCAAAACUGUGACACCCGUCACUUUCGAAAUAAUAAAAACAAUUCGAUAAAUAAUAGUUUAUGAAAUCUCCAUUUAUAAAUAUAAAAGUCAAUAUAGUAUCACAAGGCUUAAAGGCCCAAUAACGAUAACAUNNNNNNNNNNNNNNNNNNNNNNNNNNNNNNNNNNNNNNNNNNNNGCGCCGAGGCGAAUCUUCGGGAGGCGCGUGCGGCUUCGUCCGGGCUCCGUUUGAGGCGUGGUUGGUGUCUACGGCUUCGUCUCGACGAGAGGAACACGAUGAUGGCCUUGGAUGUACGAGAUGAUCAAUGGUUAGGAAGUUAUGGGUGAUUUACUAAACGGAAACGAAAAUGAGCUUAAGAAAUGCGGUUUUCGGCGGUUACCUAGGGCGUUUAUCGGUGGUGGCAGGCUGAACGUGAUCACGGCACACGGUUGCUCCGGCGACGAGCUCAGGUGAGCUUUCUCUCUCUUUCUCUCUUUCUUUCUCUCUCUCUCUCUCUCUCCCUCUCUCUCUCUUUCUCUUUAAAGAAGUUGGGGAUGGUGGAGAUGGUGGGUGUGGUGGGGAUGGUGGAGAUGGUGGGAGUGGUGGGGAUGGUGGAGAUGGUGGAGAUAGUGGGGAUAGUGGAGGUGGGUCAUUACAAUUCUCCCCCACUAACAAGGAAUUCGACCCCGAAUUCACAUCACCAAACUCUCCAAUGACAUCCCGAAACAGCUCUGGAUAAUCAAUCCUCAUUUGGGGCUCAGACUC
rnacentral:lncRNA from 1 species